rnacentral:rRNA from 1 species
GAUGAACGCUAGCGGCAGGCCUAACACAUGCAAGUCGAACGGUAACAGGUGUAGCAAUACAUGCUGACGAGUGGCGCACGGGUGCGUAACACGUAUGCAACUUACCUCUAACUGGGGAAUAGCUUCGAGAAAUCGAAAUUAAUGUCCCAUAAUAAUUUGAUCAGGCAUCUGGUUAAAUUUAAAACUCCGGUGGUUAGAGAUAGGCAUGCGUCCUAUUAGCUUGUUGGUGAGGUAACGGCUCACCAAGGCUACGAUAGGUAGGGGGCCUGAGAGGGUUAUCCCCCACACUGGUACUGAGACACGGACCAGACUCCUACGGGAGGCAGCAGUGAGGAAUAUUGGUCAAUGGUCGCAAGACUGAACCAGCCAUGCCGCGUGCAGGAUGAAGGCCCUAUGGGUUGUAAACUGCUUUUAUCUGGGAAUAAACCCCUUUACGUGUAAAGGGCUGAAGGUACCAGAUGAAUAAGGACCGGCUAACUUCGUGCCAGCCGCCGCGGUAACAC